rnacentral:rRNA from 1 species
UAAUGCUCCAUAGUGGAUAUGUCCUGAAAUGGUAUAUCCUCGAAAGAUCCGUCGCCUUAGGAUGGGACUGCGUCCGAUUAGGUUGUUGGCGGGGUAACGGCCCACCAAGCCAUUGAUCGGUACGGGUUGUGGGAGCAAGAUCCCGGAGAUGGAUUCUGAGACAUGAAUCCAGGCCCUACGGGGCGCAGCAGGCGCGCAAACUUUACAAUGCGAGCAAUCGUGAUAAGGAAACCCUGAGUGCCUGUCGAUGCAGGCUGUUCAUAUAUCUAAAUCAUAUGUGAAGAAAGGGCAGGGCAAGACCGGUGCCAGCCGCCGCGGUAAUACCGGCUGCUCGAGUGAUGGCCACUAUUACUGGGUUUAAAGCGUCCGUAGCUUGACUGUUAGGUCUCUUGGGAAAUCUUCACGCUCAACGUGAAGGCGUCUAAGAGAUACCGGCAGUCUUGGAACUGGGAGAGGUAAACCGUACUUCGGGGGUAGGAGUGAAAUCUUGUAAUCCUCGAGGGACGACCUAUGGCGAAGGCAGUUUACCAGAACAGCUUCGACAGUGAGGGACGAAAGCUGGGGGAGCAAACGGGAUUAAAUACCCCGGUAGUCCCAGCCGUAAACAAUGUGCGUUAGGUGU